AGUUGUAGAAUCACUGGUGAAUAAGGGGUGGGCAAGUUCUGGUGUCAGCCGCCGCGGUAAAACCAGCACCUCGAGUGGUCAGGAGGUUUAUUGGGCCUAAAGCAUCCGUAGCCGGUUGCAUAAGUUUUCGGUUAAAUCUAUGCGCUUAACGUAUAGGCCGCCGAAAAUACUGUGCAGCUAGGGAGUGGGAGAGGUACACGGUACUCGAUAGGAAGGGGUAAAAUCCUUUGAUCUAUUGAUGACCACCUGUGGCGAAGGCGGUGUACCAGAACACGUUCGACGGUGAGGGAUGAAAGCUGGGGGAGCAAACCGGAUUAGAUACCCGGGUAGUCCCAGCUGUAAACGAUGCAGACUCGGUGAUGCAUUGGCUUGUGGCCAAUGCAGUGCCGCAGGGAAGCCGUUAAGUCUGCCGCCUGGGAAGUACGUACGCAAGUAUGAAACUUAAAGGAAUUGGCGGGGGAGCACCACAAGGGGUGAAGCCUGCGGUUCAAUUGGAGUCAACGCCAGAAAUCUUACCUGGGGAGACAGCAGAAUGAAGGUCAAGCUGAAGACUUUACCAGACACGCUGAGAGGUGGUGCAUGGCCGUCGCCAGCUCGUGCCGUGAGAUGUCCUGUUAAGUCAGGUAACGAGCGAGACCCCUGCGUCUAGUUGCUACCAUUACUCUCUGGAGCAGUGGAGCGAAUUAGACGGACCGCCACAGUUAAUGUGGAGGAAGGAAGGGGCCACGGCAGGUCAGUAUGCCCCGAAACCCUAGGGCUACACGCGGGCUGCAAUGGUAUUGACAAUGUGUUCCGAAUCCGAAAGGAGGAGGCAAUCAUCAAACAAUAUCUCAGUUAUGACUGAGGGC
rnacentral:rRNA from 1 species